GUAGGGAAUAUUGCGCAAUGGAGGCAACUCUGACGCAGCCAUGCCGCGUGCAGGAAGAAGGCGCUACGCGUUGUAAACUGCUUUUAACCGGGAAGAAACCCCAGGACGUGUCCUGGGUUGACGGUACCGGAGGAAUAAGCACCGGCUAACUUCGUGCCAGCAGCCGCGGUAAUACGAAGGGUGCAAGCGUUAUCCGGAUUCAUUGGGUUUAAAGGGUGCGUAGGCGGAGCGUUAAGUCAGUGGUGAAAUCCUGCAGCUUAACUGUAGACUUGCCAUUGAUACUGGCGCUCUUGAGUGCGCUUGAAGUGGGCGGAAUGUGCCGUGUAGCGGUGAAAUGCUUAGAUAUGGCACAGAACACCAAUUGCGAAGGCAGCUCACUAAGGCGAUACUGACGCUGAGGCACGAAAGCGUGGGGAUCGAACAGGAUUAGAUACCCCUGUAGUCC
rnacentral:rRNA from 1 species